CCACACGACCGUACCGCAAACCGACACUGGUGCGCGAGAUGAGUAUUCUAAGGCGCUUGAGAGAACUCAGGAGAAGGAACUCGGCAAAUUGACACCGUAACUUCGGAAGAAGGUGUGCCCUAUUAGUGUGAAGUGAACAACGGAGCAUGAAUGGGUUGCAAAAAAUCGGUGGCUGCGACUGUUUAUUAAAAACACAGCACUCUGCAAACACGAAAGUGGACGUAUAGGGUGUGACGCCUGCCCGGUGCUGGAAGAUUAAGUGAUGGGGUGCAAGCUCUUGAUUGAAGUCCCAGUAAACGGCGGCCGUAACAAUAACGGUCCUAAGGUAGCGAAAUUCCUUGUCGGGUAAGUUCCGACCUGCACGAAUGGCGUAACGAUGGCCACACUGUCUCCUCCUGAGACUCAGCGAAGUUGAAAUGUUUGUGAUGAUGCAAUCUCCCCGCGGAAAGACGGAAAGACCCCAUGAACCUUUACUGUAGCUUUGUAUUGGACUUUGAACAGAUCUGUGUAGGAUAGGUGGGAGGCUUUGAAGCCAGGACGCUAGUUCUGGUGGAGCCAACGUUGAAAUACCACCCUGGUGUGUUUGAGGUUCUAACCUAGGUCCAUUAUCUGGAUCGGGGACAGUGCAUGGUAGGCAGUUUGACUGGGGCGGUCUCCUCCCAAAGCGUAACGGAGGAGUUCGAAGGUACGCUAGUUACGGUCGGACAUCGUGACGAUAGUGCAAUGGCAUAAGCGUGCUUAACUGCGAGACUGACAAGUCGAGCAGAUGCGAAAGCAGGACAUAGUGAUCCGGUGGUUCUGUAUGGAAGGGCCAUCGCUCAACGGAUAAAAGGUACUCUGGGGAUAACAGGCUGAUACCGCCCAAGAGUUCAUAUCGACGGCGGUGUUUGGCACCUCGAUGUCGGCUCAUCUCAUCCUGGGGCUGUAGCCGGUCCCAAGGGUAUGGCUGUUCGCCAUUUAAAGAGGUACGUGAGCUGGGUUUAAAACGUCGUGAGACAGUUUGGUCCCUAUCUUCCGUGGGCGCUGCAGAUUUGAGGAAGCCUGCUCCUAGUACGAGAGGACCGGAGUGGACACACCUCUGGUGUAUCGGUUGUCACGCCAGUGGCAUUGCCGAGUAGCUAAGUGUGGAAGAGAUAACCGCUGAAAGCAUCUAAGCGGGAAACUCGUUUCAAGAUGAGAUCUGCCGGGGCCUUGAGCCCCCUGAAGAGUCGUUCAAGACCAGGACGUUGAUAGGUCAGGUGUGGAAGCGCAGUAAUGCGUUUAGCUAACUGAUACUAAUUGCUCGUGCGGCUUGACC
rnacentral:rRNA from 1 species